rnacentral:rRNA from 1 species
UACAGAGGUGGCAAGCGUUGUUCGGAAUUACUGGGCGUAAAGGGCGCGUAGGCGGCCCGUCAAGUCCCGUGUGAAAGCCCCCGGCUCAACCGGGGAACGGCGCGGGAAACUAGCAGGCUUGAGUUCGGGAGAGGGAAGCGGAAUUCCGGGUGUAGCGGUGAAAUGCGCAGAUAUCCGGAGGAACACCGGUGGCGAAGGCGGCUUCCUGGACCGCCACUGACGCUGAGGCGCGAAAGCUAGGGGAGCAAACGGG